AUUGAACGCUGGCGGCAGGCCUAACACAUGCAAGUCGAACGGUAACAGGAAGAAGCUUGCUUCUUUGCUGACGAGUGGCGGACGGGUGAGUAAUGUCUGGGAAACUGCCUGAUGGAGGGGGAUAACCACUGGAAACGGUAGCUAAUACCGCAUAACGUCGCAAGACCAAAGAGGGGGACCUUCGGGCCUCUUGCCAUCGGAUGUGCCCAGAUGGGAUUAGCUAGUAGGUGGGGUAACGGCUCACCUAGGCGACGAUCCCUAGCUGGUCUGAGAGGAUGACCAGCCACACUGGAACUGAGACACGGUCCAGACUCCUACGGGAGGCAGCAGUGGGGAAUAUUGCACAAUGGGCGCAAGCCUGAUGCAGCCAUGCCGCGUGUAUGAAGAAGGCCUUCGGGUUGUAAAGUACUUUCAGCGGGGAGGAAGGGAGUAAAGUUAAUACCUUGGCUCAUUGACGUUACCCGCAGAAGAAGCACCGGCUAACUCCGUG
rnacentral:rRNA from 1 species